rnacentral:lncRNA from 1 species
CCGGAGAUAGUAAAUGAAAUUGAGUGGGUAUUGAAAACAUGGCAUGUCAGCAGCAAUAUAUUAACUACCAAUUGUUGCAUAAAAAUGUACUUCAAAACAUGGAGGAUUGAAACCAAGUAAGUUUCAUUAUCACAAGUAGAGUCUGUGGGUCAGGCAUUGGGAGUUCCUUAGCUGAGCGUUUCUGUCUCAGGGCCUUUGAAGAGCUUGAAGUCAAGAUACUGGCCAGACUUGAGUCAACUGAAGGCUUGCCUUGAUGAAGAGAAAGAAUGCACUUCCAUGAUGACUCAGCCACACGAAUGGUACUACUGGCCAGUGGUUGGUAGGACUUCCAGUGUGGGCCAUUCCACAGGACUGUCUUAAUGGCCUUAUACCAUGGAUUUCGCCAAAGUAAAUGAUGCAAGAGAAACCAGCUGAUAAAAGUUGCACUGAAGUGGAAAAGGUGAAAUUAGUUUUCUGAGUUAAAGACUGAUGACUGUAACCACUACUAAUUUGAAUUUGUACACUGGUUUGUUAUUUACUUGGAUUUUGAAUUCAAGUGCAUACUUUCUAGAGUUAUCCAGAGGACUGGAAUGAAGGAGCAGAACAUUUGUUAAACAUUAGAAAGAUACAUUUGAAGAUGGAAUACGAUAUACCAGAAACACUCCAUACUCCAGUUUUGCUGUCAUCACUUUAUUACGUAUUACAACCCAUAUAAUUGUAGUCAUUCUAAUCACUAGCAUCAUCA